UACGUCCUACGGGAGAAAGGGGGCUUCGGCUCCCGCUAUUGGAUGAGCCUAUGUCGGAUUAGCUAGUUGGUGAGGUAAAGGCUCACCAAGGCAACGAUCCGUAGCUGGUCUGAGAGGAUGAUCAGCCACAUCGGGACUGAGACACGGCCCGAACUCCUACGGGAGGCAGCAGUGGGGAAUAUUGGACAAUGGGGGCAACCCUGAUCCAGCCAUGCCGCGUGUGUGAAGAAGGCCCUCGGGUUGUAAAGCACUUUCAGCGAGGAAGAACGCCUAGCGGUUAAUACCCGUUAGGAAAGACAUCACUCGCAGAAGAAGCACCGGCUAACUCCGUGCCAGCAGCCGCGGUAAUACGGAGGGUGCAAGCGUUAAUCGGAAUUACUGGGCGUAAAGCGCGCGUAGGUGGCUUGAUAAGCCGGUUGUGAAAGCCCCGGGCUCAACCUGGGAACGGCAUCCGGAACUGUCAGGCUAGAGUGCAGGAGAGGAAGGUAGAAUUCCCGGUGUAGCGGUGAAAUGCGUAGAGAUCGGGAGGAAUACCAGUGGCGAAGGCGGCCUUCUGGACUGACACUGACACUGAGGUGCGAAAGCGUGGGUAGCAAACAGGAUUAGAUACCCUGGUAGUCCACGCCGUAAACGAUGUCGACCAGCCGUUGGGUGCCUAGAGCACUUUGUGGCGAAGUUAACGCGAUAAGUCGACCGCCUGGGGAGUACGGCCGCAAGGUUAAAACUCAAAUGAAUUGACGGGGGCCCGCACAAGCGGUGGAGCAUGUGGUUUAAUUCGAUGCAACGCGAAGAACCUUACCUACCCUUGACAUCUACAGAAGCCGGAAGAGAUUCUGGUGUGCCUUCGGGAACUGUAAGACAGGUGCUGCAUGGCUGUCGUCAGCUCGUGUUGUGAAAUGUUGGGUUAAGUCCCGUAACGAGCGCAACCCUUGUCCUUAUUUGCCAGCACGUAAUGGUGGGAACUCUAAGGAGACUGCCGGUGACAAACCGGAGGAAGGUGGGGACGACGUCAAGUCAUCAUGGCCCUUACGGGUAGGGCUACACACGUGCUACAAUGGCCGGUACAAAGGGCUGCGAGCUCGCGAGAGUCAGCGAAUCCCUUAAAGCCGGUCUCAGUCCGGAUCGGAGUCUGCAACUCGACUCCGUGAAGUCGGAAUCGCUAGUAAUCGUGAAUCAGAAUGUCACGGUGAAUACGUUCCCGGG
rnacentral:rRNA from 1 species